GGCUGGUGCCAGUGCAGUGGUGCUUACAACUCAUGGAUCACAACCAGUUACAGAUUUAUUUCUUCUCUGCUCACUGCUUUACUUGACUUAAA
rnacentral:Y_RNA from 1 species